AGGAGAUGUCCUGGACUCACACAGAAACUCAGGGCUAUGGAAUGAAGGGCAAGCUCACUCUCUGGCAACAAGCUCCCUGGGGUGAUUUUUCUUCUAGAAGAGUCCACGGGGACAGGCUGCCCCAGUUCUCACUCCCAUUGAGUGUCGGGUUUCUAGAGAAGCCAAUCAAUGUAGCCGCGGUCCCGGUUCUAAAGUUCCCACGCACCCACCGGGACUCCGAUUCUUCCCAGUCGCCGAGGAUGGUGUCAUGGCGCCCCGAACCCUGCUUCUGCUGCUCUCGGGGGCCCUGGUCCUGACCCAGACCUGGGCAGGCUUCCACUCCUUGAGGUAUUUCCACACCACCAUGUCCCGGCCCGGCCGCGCGGAUCCCCGCUUCCUCUCCGUGGGCGACGUGGACGACACGCAGUGCGUGCGGCUCGACAGCGACGCCACGAGUCCCAGGAUGGAGCCGCGGGCGCCGUGGAUGGAGCAGGAGGGGCCGGAAUAUUGGGAAGAGGAGACAGGGACCGCCAAGGCCAAAGCACAGUUUUACCGAGUGAACCUGCGGACCCUGAGCGGCUACUACAACCAGAGUGAGGCCUGUGAGUGACACCGGCCGGGGGCGCAGGUCACUACCCCUCCACAUCCCCCACGGACCGCCCGGGUCUCCCCGAGUCUCUGGGUCCGAGAUCCACGCCGAGGCAGCGGGACCUGGAGACCCUUGACCCGGGAGAGGCCCAGGAGCCGUUACCCGGUUUCAUUUUCAGCCAAAAUCCCCGCAGGGGCUGCCAGCCACACAGAGUCAUGGACAGGUCUCUACAGACACAACUUAGUGCCAGCUUGGAUGAAACCCUCUGAGGAAUGGGUGCCAUCUUUCAGGAUGUGGUGCAUGUAUUGAAUCAAAGAUGUCUCUAUAGUGCUGUGUUUACAGAAGGAAGAAUACGUGGGUCCAAAAACCAAGAAGUAGAAGCAGGGAUGUUUGAAUAGUAUGUGUCCAGAUACAAGCAGGUGAGAAGAGGAGGAGGCAGGGCUGCUAUCACACAAGGAGGGCAGGAGAUGUGUGUGUGGAAAUAAGAGAUCCACUUGGAGACCUUAUGGUUCCCCUUGUCCUGUUGUAAGUGUGAGCAGAAUCAUCCAGCAACCCAGCCUGAGAGGGUUUCAUAUUCAAGAGCCCAGAACCCUCAGGAAGGAAGGAUUGAGUGAUACUCACAGGUAAUGUCCCAAGGCUGUGCUCCUGUGCUCUGACAUCCUCAGCAGGAUUGGUGCAAAGCCCUGCUUCCCAUGGGCUGUUCCCAGCCAGUGACUGGUCACAGCAGGCAUUAAGGCAAGCCAUUCCUGGGAGACACGGGACUCCUCUGAUGGCUAACUGUAGCUGGAAGACUCCUCCACGGCCUUGCUCAACUCUCCUUAGAUUGCCUGUGCUCUAGGAUGCGUCAAACAAACUUUCUCUCCUUCUGUCCAGCACUUGGGGUCACACUUGCAUCGUGGUCUGCCGCCUUUUCUCAGGGAUUUCUGGCUCACUUCCCAUAUUCCCUUACGGGUGUGUCCCCUUAUAAGAUGUCGCAGACUUUAAGCUCAUCUUGGCAUCUGCUCCUUGAAGGACUUGGACUAAAAAUUAUUUCCAUCUGCAUAUCAAUAACUCUUAUUCCAACCUGUAAAAUCCUUCUCUUUAUCCAACUUCUGCCACCCCCACAGAAUCUAUUUUACUUGUGUGUGUAGUAUCUCUUUGAGUUAACAGAUAUUUGUUCUAUUAAGCUACUAAAUUUUGAGGUAGUUUGUGACACAGCACUUGAUAACUAUUAAGGCUUUCUUAAGUUUCCAUUAUUCCAUGGAUAUUAUCUACAUAUCUUUUAAUCCCUUGCAUUUUAAUAACAUUAGCUAUACUUGCUGUUUCCAACUCUUUCCUCCUAUUUUUGAACAUUUUAAAUUUUGUCUUUCUCUGUCCUUCCUUCCUUCUUUCCUCCUUUCCUCCCUCAGAGCUUUCUCCCUCCCUCCAUUUUUUUCAUAAACUCCAAGUGUUUAGGCCAAAAGGAAGCAUUAUUUGAACUUUAUGCUAAAAGUAUAAUGCCGUAAUUUAUAAUAUAAAAGUAAAGAAAAGGAAGUUGUUAAUGGAAUAUGAAAAAAUGCCUAGGGUGAUUCUAUAGCCAAGACAGUACCUUUUAACAUUUAAUUUCUGCCUCCAACUGAAUGUUUUCAGAACACAUGAGCAACACAAGCUCUUUCCCAUUCUUGGUACAAGCACUUGAGAAAUCAAAUUAGCCUUAUCUAGUAUGAUUAAUGUCCAUACAUCAUAUAAUCCCACCAUCUGCCUCCUGAUCAUACCCCCUGGGGACAUUCUUGGCUAUGUGUCCAGGAGACAUGUACACCAAUGUUUAUGGCAAAAACUGGAAACAAUCACAUAUACAUCAAUGGGAAUUAACAAAAUAGUCGUAUAAUAAUAAAAAGUAAAACUUCAGCAGCAACAGUGAAUGAACAGCACCCUCCCACAUCAGAGAUAACUCUCCUACACAUAACAUGCAUCAGCAUCACAGAAGAAUGCACAUUGUGUGAGUUCUCUGUACGGGGAAGUUAAAAAAAGCAGGUCAAACUGUGAUUUGGAUAUAUAUAUAUAUACUUAUUGUAAAAAUCUUUAGAGACAAUGAAAAGGAAUAGUAAAUACAAGACUCAAGAUAGAAGUUCCUUUUGGGGAAUAGAAUUGGACAACAGCCGAGGGUGGCUUCAUAGGUUUUGUUUUUUAUGCCAGGAGGGGAUGUCCAGGUAGUUAAGUUACUUGAUCAUAAAUCUUUCUUUCCUUCUUUCUUUCUUUCUUUCUUUCUUUCUUUCUUUCUUUCUUUCUUUCUUUCUUUCUUUCUUUCUUUCUCUCUCUCUCUCUCUCUCUCUCUCUCUCUCUCUUUCUUUCUUUCUUUCUUUCUUUCUUUCUUUCUCUUUCUUUAUUUAUUUUCGAGAUGGAGUCUCCCUCUUGUUGCCCAGGCUGGAGUGCAGUGGCGUGAUCUCAGUUCACUGCAACCUCCGCCUCCCAGGUUCAAGCAAUUCUCCUACCUCAGCCUCCUGAGUAGCUGGAAUUAUAGGCAUCCACCACGACACCCAGCCCUGGGGGAAGCUGGCUGUUGUGUCAUAAGGAGGCCUGUGGUCCAUGUGACUAGGAAGUGAGUCCUCCUGGGACCAGACAAUAAGAAGCUAAAGCCUCUUCCAAAAGCCAUGUGAGAGAUUCUUGUGUCUUGUGAAUCCCCGGCCCCAUUUGAGCCCUCAGAUGAUUCAGCCCUGGAAGACAACUAGACUGCAACGUUGUGAGAGGCCCUGAGCCAGAAGCAUUCAGAGAAACUUCUCCUGGAUUCCUGACCAUGGAUAACUGUGGGAGAUGAUAAAUAUUUGUUGAUUUGAGCUGCUAAGUUGUAGGUGACUUGUUAUGCAGCAGUAGAUAACUAAUACAGCUUCACAAGAGAGGAUGAAUCACUGAACUUUUUCAUUUGCUCUAAAUUCAUUAUAAGAUAUUAAACAUGUCAUUUGCUUUUAAUAUUUAAUAAAAAUUUCCAUGGCUAUAUAAGAUA
ensembl:lncRNA HLA-V major histocompatibility complex, class I, V (pseudogene)